UUGAUCCUGGCUCAGAACGAGCGCUGGCGGCGUGCUUAACACAUGCAAGUCGGAUGCGAACGGCGCUUUCGGGCGUUGAGUAGCAUGGCAGACGGGUGAGGAGCGCGUAUCUGACUGGACUCAGGCUGGGGGAUAGUCCCUCGAAAGGGGGUUGAAUACCGCAUGUGCUCGGUGCUGUGAGGGCAUCGAGGAAAGUUGGCCUCUGCGGGCACGCUGAUGGCCUGAGACAGGGAUGCGUCCUAUUAGCUAGCUGGUGGGGUAAGGGCCUACCAGGGCGACGAUGGGUAGCUGGUCUGAGAGGAUGAUCAGCCACACUGGGACUGCGACACGGCCCAGACUCCUACGGGAGGCAGCAGUGGGGAAUUUUGCGCAAUGGGCGCAAGCCUGACGCAGCAACGCCGCGUGCAUGACGACGCCUUUCGAGGUGUAAAGUGCUGUCGACCGGGACGAAGGGGCGAGGGUGAACAGCUUUCGCGCAUGACGGUACCGGUGGAGGAAGCCCCGGCUAACUCCGUGCCAGCAGCCGCGGUAAGACGGAGGGGGCGAGCGUUGUUCAGAAUUACUGGGCGUAAAGCGCGCGUAGGCGGUGCAGCAAGUGGUGCGUGAAAGCCCUCGGCUUAACCGGGGGCGGGCGUGCCAAACUGUUGGACUGGAGUGCCGGAGGGGGAGGCGGAAUUCCUGGUGGAGCGGUGAAAUGCGUAGAGAUCAGGAAGAACGUCGGUGGCGAAGGCGGCCUCCUGGACGGACACUGACGCUGAGGUGCGACAGCGUGGGGAGCGAACGGGAUUAGAUACCCCGGUAGUCCACGCCGCAAACGAUGGGUACUAGGUGUGGGG
rnacentral:rRNA from 1 species